UUGUAGGACUGAUGUUGAGUUACAAAGGUAUAAGAUAGCAGAAACAGUUGGGAAGCUGUUCCAAAGAGGGUGACAGGCCCGUAUGCGAAAUCUUGUACUCUCUAAUCAGGAUCCUGAGUACGGCCCAGCACGUGAAAUUGGGUCGGAAUCUGGGAGGACCAUCUCCCAAGGCUAAAUACUAACUAGUGACCGAUAGCGAACAAGUACCGUGAGGGAAAGGUGAAAAGAACCCCGGAAGGGGAGUGAAAUAGUUCUUGAAACCGUGUGCUUACAAGAAGUUCGAGGCCGUUAAUGGCUGAGAGCGUGCUUUUUGUAGAAUGAACCGGAGAGUUACGAUUGCGUGCAAGGUUAAGGUGCAAAGACUGGAGCCGUAGCGAAAGCGAGUCUUAAUAGGGCGAAUCAGUACGUAGUUGUAGACCCGAAACCGAGUGACCUAUCCAUGGUCAGGUUGAAGGUGGGGUAAUACC
rnacentral:rRNA from 1 species